rnacentral:tRNA from 2 species
GUCCUUGUGGUGAAACGGAUAUCACCGGCCCCUCCUAAGGGUCAGUUUCAGGUUCGAGUCCUGACGGGGACACCA